rnacentral:rRNA from 1 species
GAUGAACGCUGGCGGCGUGCCUAAUACAUGCAAGUCGAGCGAACGGACGAGAAGCUUGCUUCUCUGAUGUUAGCGGCGGACGGGUGAGUAACACGUGGAUAACCUACCUAUAAGACUGGGAUAACUUCGUGAAACCGGAGCUAAUACCGGAUAAUAUUUUGAACCGCAUGGUUCAAAAUUGAAUGACGGUCUUGCUGUCACUUAUAGCUGGUUCCGCGCUGCAUUAGCUAGUUGGUAAGGUAACGGCUUACCAAGGCAACGAUGCAUAGCCGACCUGAGAGGGUGAUCGGCCACACUGGAACUGAGACACGGUCCAGACUCCUAAGGGAGGCAGCAGUAGGGAAUCUUACGCAAUGGGCGAAAGCCUGACGGAGCAACGCCGCGUGAGUGAUGAAGGUCUUCGGAUCGUAAAACUCUGUUAUUAGGGAAGAACAUAUGUGUAAGUAACUGUGCACAUCUUGACGGUACCUAAUCAGAAAGCCACGGCUAACUACGUG